GUGAACGCUAGCGGCGUGCCUUAAGCAUGCAAGUCGAACGAUUCUGAUUUAUCAGUUUAGUGGCGGACGGGUGAGUAAUACCUAGGAAUCUACCCUAAAGUGAGGAAUAACUCCCGGAAACGGGGGCUAAUACCACAUGUGGACGCAAGUCUAAAGCUCUUAACUGGGCGCUUUUGGAGGAGCCUAGGUCCCAUCAGCUUGUUGGUAGGGUAAAAGCCUACCAAGGCUAUGACGGGUAGCUGGUCUGAGAGGAUGAUCAGCCACAAUGGCACUGAGACACGGGCCAUACAUCUACGGAUGGCAGCAACUGGGAAUCUUGCGCAAUGGGCGAAAGCCUGACGCAGCGACGCCGCGUGGAGGAUGAAGGCCUUCGGGUUGUAAACUCCUUUUGAGCCGAUAUCAUGUCGGCUAGAAUAAGCACCUGCUAACUACGU
rnacentral:rRNA from 1 species